rnacentral:rRNA from 1 species
AGGCUUUGAUCCUGGCUCAGGACGAACGCUGGCGGCGUGCCUAACACAUGCAAGUCGAGCGAAGCGCUGGAGAUAGCUUGCUAUUUUUAGUGACUGAGCGGCGAACGGGUGAGUAACACGUGGGUGAUCUGCCUGGUAAACUGGGAUAACAGUUCGAAAGGGCUACUAAUACCAAAUAAUAUUUUUACUGUAGAGGCGAAGAUCAAAGUGCUAUGUAGCGCUACCAGAUGAGCCCGCGUCCCAUUAGCUAGUUGGUGGGGUAAGAGCCUACCAAGGCGACGAUGGGUAGCCGGUCUGAAAAAAUAAACAACCACACUAAAACUGAGACACGGUCCAGACUCCUACGGGAGGCAGCAGUGGGGAAUUUUGCACAAUGGGGACAACCCUGACGCAGCGACACCGCGUGAGCAAAGAAGGCCUUCGGGUUGUAAAGCUCUGUUGAGGGGGAAGAUAGUGACGGUACCCUUUAAGAAAGCCCCGGCGU